rnacentral:rRNA from 1 species
GAUGAACGCUGGCGGUAUGCUUAACACAUGCAAGUCGAACGGUCACUUCGGUGAUAGUGGCGGACGGGUGAGUAACGCGUGAGAAUCUGGCUUCAGGUCGGGGACAACAGUUAGAAAUGACUGCUAAUACCGGAUGUGCCUUUGGGUGAAAGAUUUAUUGCCUGAAAAAGAGCUCGCGUCAGAUUAGCUAGUAGGUGGUGUAAGAGACUACCUAGGCUCCGAUCUGUAGCUGGUCUGAGAGGACGAUCAGCCACACUGGAACUGAGACACGGUCCAGACUACUGCGGGAGGCAGCAGUGGGGGAUUUUCCGCAAUGGGCGGAGGCCUGAAGGAGCAAUACCGCGAGAGGGACGAAGGCUUUUGGGUCGUAAACCUCUUUUAUCAAGGAAGGUGAUGACGGUACCUGAAGAAUAAGCAUCGGCUAACUCUGUG